UGGCUUUUCCACUGUAGAGGGAGUUACUGUAGUUUAAUGAACAUUUUGAAAUACCGGGUUGUGCCCUCUCUUCCUUUCAGCAAUUACACCACACUGCCAUCAAACCCUUAUCUUCCAUAUUGAAAAGUGAAGCCUCCAGCGCCGCGCAGUGAACACUGCUCUUACAUCUCGCUGACUGCCUCCUCUCAUUCGUGUUCGAAGCCUCAAUCCAAUCCCCAGAUUUUCGUACCAGGCUCUGAAAAUCGAAAGCUCUGCAGGUACUAAAGCUUGGGCUACUUUUGAUUGCCAAACUUUCUUUCCAUUUUGCUGAUCAACCAAGAAGCUUCUCCCAUAGAGAUGGAUGAUGAUGUAGAAGAAGAAUAUCAUGGUCAUGGGUCAAGUCAUGGGAUAGAGAUGGAUGAUGAUGUAGAAGAAGAAUAUCAUGGUCAUGGUGCACAAUAAAUGGAAAUGAUAAGAAAUAGCAUUACUCAAAGUUUGAUGAGUGCACGAACUUGAACAUUUGAAUGUGUUAUGAAAUUUUUUGUGGUUACUUGAUGCAAACCAAAAACCAAUUGUUGUUAAUGUUAUUAAUAUAUUUGUAUAAGUUAUUUUUAAAA